rnacentral:lncRNA from 1 species
UAUUUAUCGCUUUUGAUUAUUUUAAUUCAACAAAGAUAUCGGAAUAAAAUAUUUAUUUCUGAGUUUUGGAAAACCCGAGUUAGAAAAAACAAUAGAUUGAUGACCAAUUCAUAACUUAGCCAGGAAAUGCCGGUCGAUUAAAAAAGUUAAUGUGAAAUUUGGCAUGGUUGGGAGCUGGCCAUAUUUCCGUAAUCGGGUGGAAACGAAGAAAUGGCCCAUGGCGGAUCAUCAUCCAAACGAUUCAUUUGUAAUUCGGUUUCUCGAUUUUUCUAUGACGUCGAUAUUUGAAAAAACGGAUCCCGAUCCGUAUGUCCAUCCCAACACCACAGAAUUUUCGGCGUCAUAUCAGUUAAUAUUGGAAACUUUUCACGCGUAUACGUCCAAAUGAUCAGAAAAUUACUG